AGAGGUAUGGUAUAUUGGGAGGAAAUACACUGGGUCUGAACUCAGAGGUCCUAGGUUCAAAUCCUAGCUCUA
rnacentral:tRNA from 1 species